rnacentral:rRNA from 1 species
ACUCAAAGGAAUAGACGGGGGCCCGCACAAGCGGUGGAGUAUGUGGUUUAAUUCGACGCAACGCGAAGAACCUUACCUGGGCUCGAAGGCCAGAUGGUAUUGAACUGAAAAGGGAUAGACCCCGCAAGGGGAGUCUGGUCAGGUGCUGCAUGGCUGUCGUCAGCUCGUGUCGUGAGAUGUUGGGUUAAGUCCCGCAACGAGCGCAACCCUUGUCUUUAGUUGCCAUCAUUUAGUUGGGCACUCUAAAGAGACCGCCAGCGUCAAGCUGGAGGAAGGUGGGGAUGACGUCAAGUCCUCAUGGCCCUUACGUCCAGGGCUACACACGUACUACAAUGGCCGGUACAAAACGCAGCAAACCCGUGAGGGGGAGCCAAUCGGCAAAAGCCGGCCUCAGUACAGAUUGGAGUCUGCAACUCGACUCCAUGAAGUCGGAAUCGCUAGUAAUCGUCAAUCAGCAGGUGACGGUGAAUACGUUCCCGGGCCUUGCACACACCGCCCGU